AAAUCAACAGGUGCUUGUUCUCCACU
rnacentral:piRNA from 1 species